AAAAAUGAUUUAGAGAAUGAAGAAAGCCGCCAUCGCUACUGUCCACCUUCACUGAAUCAAAUGUAUAUAUACACAGAUGACAGAACAGAUGUGAUGAUCAUCUUACUCUGACGCCGCCGGCUUCUCUUUCCCCCCUUCAACUAUUCUCUUCAACUCUUCUCUCCGAAUUCCGAGCAUCAUUUCAAAUUUGAAACGGACUUCUCUACGCAGCCAGAUUUUCAAUUAAUUGCUCUGGAACACCUCAAAUUCGAUUUGAGGCAAAACAUUAUUCGCAGAUGGGCGGCUCGAAGAAGAAGAAGAAGCGGAGUGGAGGCGGGGUCCGCCGCGCCCAGUCAAAGGACCAUCAUUCCACUGUAGCCGAUAAUUCUGAAAUUUUAACCGAGGAAGUAACUGCCUUGUGUGCCAUAUUUCAGGAAGAUUGCAUAGUUGCUUCUGAAUCACCUCCUCGUAUUAACAUCAAGCUCAGGCCAUACUCAAAGGAUACAGGAUAUGAGGAUUCUGAUGUUUGUGUCCAGCUCUCUGUGAGAUGUUUACCAGGUUAUCCAUACAAAUGCCCAAAGCUGCAGAUAAUACCCGAGAAAGGCUUAUCAAAAACUGAUGCUGAUAAUCUUUUAUCUCUACUUUAUGAUCAGGCUAAUUCUAAUGCUCGAGAAGGGCGCGUGAUGAUUUACAAUUUAGUGGAAGCUGCACAAGAAUUCUUGUCUGAAGUUCUUCCUCAAGAGCAGACUCGUGAAUCUGUUGUCUGCGAUGGUACUGAUAAGAGUUGCCAGCUCCCGACCAAGGAGGGUACUGUCAGAAGUGGCAUGACCUGUUCAUCUAGAGGACCUUUUGUCUUUAGUCAUUUAGAUCUUUUCAGUGGUUCUGGAGAGUUGUGGCAAUGGAACCUAGAAAUGGAAGAGAGCAACGAGGUAGUGUCUUCUCAUACAAUUGGCAGUCCAAAAGCGGGAAAUGGUACUUUGGACAAGCAAUCAGACAAGUCUAUGAAGUUACCGUUGGUUGACAGUUAUAAGCCUGAGUAUGUAAAUAAUCAGUCAUUAAGAUUAGGUACUCUUGAAGAAGAGAGUGAAGAUGAGACAAAAAGUACUGAUUUGAGUUCUGAUGAAUCAGUUGGAAAUGGUACCAUUAACCACGUAAAGGAUAUGUUUGUAGUAGGAAAUCUAUCAGAAACUGACAAUGAUAGUUCAAAUAGUGAUUCAGAGUUGUCUGAGUCUGAGUUCGCCAAUCAACUUCAAUCUUUCCAGACUAUGCAGAGGGACUUGCUCUUGGCCCACUUACUUCGUCUUGCUUGUGCUCCUAAAGGAGCACUUGCUGAUGCUUUACCGGAAAUUACAUCAGAGCUCCUCAAUCUGGGGAUUGUUUCAGAAAACGUGCGAGAUAUGGCUAUCAAACCAUCAUCAUCUUAUGGCAAAAAUUUUGAUCGUGUGUUUGGGAAGCAUAUUAGUUCAUCAAAAAUAUCCGGCUUUUGGAAAACUGCUUCUGAUUUAGGAGGCCAAAGUUCUUCAGUUCAAAAUUCCCGUUAUUUAAAUGACUUUGAGGAGCUCCAACCUCUUGGACAUGGUGGGUUCGGUCACGUGGUGUUAUGCAAGAAUAAGCUAGAUGGUAGGCAUUAUGCCGUGAAGAAGAUCCGAUUAAAGGACAAAAUUCUGCCUGUAAAUGACCGCAUAUUAAGGGAAGUAGCUACUCUUUCUAGAUUGCAGCAUCAGCAUGUUGUACGAUACUAUCAGGCUUGGUAUGAAGCAGGUGAAAUUGGAAACCUUGGAGGCCCUGCAUGGGGUUCUACAACGGGCGUGAGUUCCAGUGUCAGCUUCAAGGAAACUGAUUCUUCAGAACAGUUUGCACAUGAAAAUAAGCUUGAGUCAACCUACCUCUAUAUUCAGAUGGAAUACUGCCCUAGGACUCUGCGGCAAAAGUUUGAAUCCUAUAAUCACUUUGAUAAGGAACUUGCUUGGCAUUUGUUUCGGCAAAUUGUGGAAGGCCUGGCACAUAUCCAUGGACAAGGAAUUAUCCAUCGCGACUUGACUCCUAAUAACAUAUUUUUUGAUGCUCGAAAUGACAUCAAAAUUGGAGACUUUGGCCUUGCCAAAUUUCUGAAGUUCGAGCAACUGGACCAAGAUGUGGAUGCAACUGAAACCGUUGGAGUAUCAAUUGAUGGUACAGGUCAAGUUGGCACAUAUUUCUACACUGCCCCUGAAAUAGAGCAAGGCUGGCCGAAGAUUGAUGAGAAGGCUGAUAUGUACAGUUUAGGAGUUAUGUUCUUUGAACUAUGGCAUCCUUUCGAGACAGCAAUGGAGAGACAUGUUUUGCUAUCUGAUCUGAAACUAAAAGGACAGCUUCCUUCUAUCUGGGUCACAGAAUUCCCAGAACAGGCAACCUUGCUUCGACGCUUGAUGUCUCCAAGUCCAUCGGAUCGGCCUUCAGCCACGGAACUUCUUAAGCAUGCCUUUCCACCUCACAUGGAGUAUGAAAUGUUAGAUAAUAUGUUGAGGACAAUUCAUACUUCAGAAGACACAAGUAUAUACGAAAAAGUUGUGUCUGCGAUUUUUGACGAGGAUAAGUUAAGGACAAAGGACAGGCAUGAGAAUGUUGAACGACUGAAAUCUAUUCGAGAUGAUAUCUCGACAACUUGUUUCACAGAUGUAGAUACUGCUAACCGUGAUCUGGUUGUUGAUACUGUUAGAGAAGUUUACAGGCAGCAUGGUGCAAAGCAUUUGGAGAUCUUUCCAAUGAGAAUAUUGGGAGAUGGCCAUCAAGUAAAUAGGAGUGCUGUCAAAAUGCUAUCCCAUGGAGGAGACAUGAUUGAGUUUUGCCAUGAGCUACGCUAUCCCUUUGUGAAUUGGGUCAUUGCAAAGCAGAAAUCAUUUUUCAGGAGGUACGAAAUAUCAUAUGUAUACCGAAGAGCAAUUGGCCAUUCACCUCCAAAUCGGUACUUGCAGGGAGAUUUUGAUAUUGUUGGAGGAGCAACUGCAUUGACAGAGGCAGAGAUCAUAAAGGCUUCCGUCGACAUUGUUUCUCAAUUUUUCAAUUCAGAAUCGUGUGACAUUCAUCUAAACCAUGCCGACAUAUUGGAGGCAAUAUGGUCUUGGACAGGAAUCAAACCUCAAAAUAGACAGAAAGUAGCUGAGCUUCUCUCACUUUUGGGUUCCUUGCGUCCUCAGUCUUCUGAAAGGAAGUCAAAAUGGGUAGUUAUCAGGCAGCAACUUCGACAGGAACUUGAUCUUUCUGAUGAUGCUUUAAACAGAUUACAAACUGUGGGAUUGAGGUUCUGUGGGACUGCUGAACAGGCACUACCAAGACUACGAGGUGCCCUGCCUGCAGAUAAGUCAACACGCAAGGCACUUGAUGAGGUUUCCGAACUUUUCAACUAUUUGAGGGUUUGGAAGAUUGAAAGGCAUGUCUUUGUUGAUGCACUAAUGCCACCAACUGAAUAUUAUCAUAGGAACUUGUAUUUCCAGAUAUAUCUCAGAAAGGAUAACAAUCCUGUUGCACUAACAGAAGGAACGCUGCUUGCUGUUGGUGGCCGUUAUGAUUACCUGCUUCAGCAGACGACUGAUUCUGAAUAUAAAUCAAGUCCACCCGGUGCAGUUGGAACUAGUAUUGCACUAGAAACUAUUUUGCUACACUCUUCUGUUGAUAAUAAAUCUCAUAGAAAUGAAAUAGGCAUUAAUGUUCUUGUCUGUUCGAGAGGUGGGGGUGGUUUAUUGUUCGAGCGCAUGGAACUGGUGGCCGAGUUGUGGGAGGAGAAUAUCAGGAGUUUGUCCCCUUGCGUGAUCCAAGCCUUACUGAACAGUACGAAUAUGCAAGCGACCAUGAUAUUAAAUGUCUUGUUGUCAUCACUGACUCUGGUGUAUCCCAAAAAGGCUCUGUUCAGGUUCGGCAUCUAGAGCUCAAGAGAGAGAAAGAAAUUGAGAGGGAAAACCUUGUAAAAUUUCUAUCAGAGGCAAUGGCUACUCAAUUUAGAAACCCGUCUAUCUGGAGCUAGGUCAGCUCGAAAUUGUACAGGUACACUUUCUUAAGGAGAUAGAUCAGGUGAACUAAACUCAGUUGCUGCAAAGUUUUGUACCUAAGAAUUUUAAGUUAAUUACUUUGUACAGUUAUACGAUUUUAAUUCAAUAUUUCACUUCACUUGGCUUUUAUCGUACUCUCUCCGAUCCUUCUAUCUUCAGACUACUUGUGCACGAGAUUAAAGGAACUAGUAUUGUUUGAGCAA